AGAGUUUGAUCCUGGCUCAGGAUGAACGCUGGCGGCGUGCCUAAUACAUGCAAGUCGAGCGAAUCUUCUUCGGAAGAUUAGCGGCGGACGGGUGAGUAACACGUAGGCAACCUACCCAAUAGACUGGGAUAACUUCGGGAAACCGGAGCUAAUACCGGAUAACAAUGUGGUUCUCAUGAACCAUAUUUGAAAGCUGGCUU
rnacentral:rRNA from 1 species